rnacentral:rRNA from 1 species
ACGCACGCUGGCGGCGUGCUUAACACAUGCAAGUCGAACGGUGAAGCGCCUUCCUUUUUGGUGGGUGUGGAUGAGUGGCGAACGGGUGAGUAACACGUGAGUAACCUGCCCCCUUCUUCUGGAUAACCGCAUGAAAGUGUGGCUAAUACGGGAUAUUCUGGGUCUGUCGCAUGAUGGGUCUGGGAAAGAUAUUGUUUCGGGGGGGGAUGGGCUCGCAGCCUAUCAGCUUGUUGGUGGGGUGAUGGCCUACCAAGGCGGUGACGGGUAGCCGGCCUGAGAGGGUGGACGGUCACACUGGGACUGAGACACGGCCCAGACUCCUACGGGAGGCAGCAGUGGGGAAUAUUGCACAAUGGGCGCAAGCCUGAUGCAGCGACGCCGCGUGAGGGAUGGAGGCCUUCGGGUUGUGAACCUCUUUCGCCAGUGAAGCAGGCCUGCCUCGUUUGUGGGUGGGUUGACGGUAGCUGGAGAAGAAGCGCCGGCUAACUACGUG